rnacentral:tRNA from 1 species
GGUUGUGGCUCAGAGGUAGAGUGCUUGCCUAGCAUGCAUGAGGCACUGGGUUCGAUCCUCAUCACCA